rnacentral:rRNA from 1 species
UACAGAGGUCUCAAGCGUUGUUCGGAUUCAUUGGGCGUAAAGGGCGCGCAGGCGGCCCGGUAAGUCGGAUGUGAAAACUCGGGGCUCAACCCCGAGCGUGCACCCGAUACUGCCGGGCUUGAGGCAGGUAGGGGAGAUCGGAAUUCCUGGUGUAGCGGUGAAAUGCGCAGAUAUCAGGAGGAACACCGGUGGCGAAGGCGGAUCUCUGGGCCUGUCCUGACGCUGAGGCGCGAAAGCUAGGGGAGCGAACAGG